rnacentral:piRNA from 1 species
GAGGCAGUCAAACAGAGCAAGUAGUUCAG